CGCGGCCUAUCAGCUUGUUGGUGAGGUAACGGCUCACCAAGGCAUCGACGGGUAGCUGGUCUGAGAGGAUGAUCAGCCACACUGGGACUGAGACACGGCCCAGACUCCUACGGGAGGCAGCAGUGGGGAAUAUUGCACAAUGGGCGCAAGCCUGAUGCAGCAACGCCGCGUGCGGGAUGAAGGCCCUAGGGUUGUAAACCGCUUUCAGCAGGGAAGAAACUGACGGUACCUGCAGAAGAAGGUGCGGCCAACUACGUGCCAGCAGCCGCGGUGACACGUAGGCACCAAGCGUUGUCCGGAUUUAUUGGGCGUAAAGAGCUCGUAGGCGGUUCAGUAAGUCGGGUGUGAAAACUCUGGGCUCAACCCAGAGACGCCACCCGAUACUGCUGUGACUUGAGUACGGUAGGGGAGUGGGGAAUUCCUGGUGUAGCGGUGAAAUGCGCAGAUAUCAGGAGGAACACCAGUGGCGAAGGCGCCACUCUGGGCCGUAACUGACGCUGAGGAGCGAAAGCGUGGGUAGCAAACAGGAUUAGAUACCCUGGUAGUCCACGCCGUAAACGUUGGGCACUAGGUGUGGGUCUCAACCAACGAGAUCCGCGCCGUCGCUAACGCAUUAAGUGCCCCGCCUGGGGAGUACGG
rnacentral:rRNA from 1 species